GUUUGUGUAGGAUAGGUGGGAGGCUUUGAUCUCCGGGCGCCAGCUCGGAAGGAGCCGUUGGUGAAAUACCACCCUUUGCAUGCUUUAAUUCUAACGCUGAUUCUCGUGAAACCGAGCAGCGGACAAUGUCAGUUGGGCAGUUUGACUGGGGCGGUCUCCUCCUAAAGAGUAACGGAGGAGCCCAAUUGGUACCCUCAGCCUGGUUGGCAAUCAGGCAUCGAGCGUAAAGGUAUAAGGGU
rnacentral:rRNA from 1 species